AACGCACAUUGCGCCCUGUGGUAUUCCGCAGGGCAUGCCUGUUCGAGCGUCAUUAUAACCACUCAAGCCUGGCUUGGUAUUGGAGUUUGCGGUCUCGCAGCUCCUAAAAUCAGUGGCGGUGCCGGUGUGGCUCUACGCGUAGUAAUUCUUCUCGCGAUGGAGUUCCCCUGGUUGCUUGCCAGAACCCCCCAAUUUUUACAGGUUGACCUCGGAUCAGGUAGGGAUACCCGCUGAACUUAA
rnacentral:misc_RNA from 1 species